rnacentral:rRNA from 1 species
UACGGGAGGCAGCAGUGGGGAAUAUUGCACAAUGGGCGAAAGCCUGAUGCAGCUAUGCCGCGUGUAUGAAGAAGGCCUUAGGGUUGUAAAGUACUUUCAUCGGGGAGGAAAAACAAAACUAAUAAUUUUAUUUCUUGACGUUACCCGAAAAAGAAGCACCGGCUAACUCCGUGCCAGCAGCCGCGGUAAUACGGAGGGUGCUAGCGUUAAUCAGAAUUACUGGGCGUAAAGAGCACGUAGGUGGUUUUUUUAAGUCAGAUGUGAAAUCCCUGGGCUUAACCUGGAAACUGCAUUUUGAAACUGAGAUACUGAAGUAUCGUAGAGGGAGGUAGAAUUCUAGGUGUAGCGGUGAAAUGCGUGAUAUCUGGAGGAAUACCUGUGGCGAAAGCGGCCUCCUAAACGAAUACUGACACUGAGGUGCGAAAGCGUGGGGAGCAAACAGGGAUUAGAUACC